rnacentral:rRNA from 1 species
UACGGAGGAUGCGAGCGUUAUCCGGAUUUAUUGGGUUUAAAGGGUGCGUAGGCGGCCGAGUAAGUCAGCGGUGAAAUUUUGCAGCUUAACUGUAACAGUGCCGUUGAUACUGCAUGGCUAGGAUUUGGUUGCUGUGGGUGGAAUGUGUGGUGUAGCGGUGAAAUGCUUAGAUAUCACACAGAAUAUCAAUUGCGAAGGCAGCUCACAAAGCCAAGAUUGACGCUGAGGCACGAAGGCGUGGGGAUCAAA